rnacentral:rRNA from 1 species
GGUUUGAUCUGGCUCAGAUUGAACGCUGGCGGGAUGCUUUACACAUGCAAGUCGAACGGCAAUGACUUCGGUCUGGUGGCGAGUGGCGAACGGGUGAGUAAUGUAUCGGAACGCCUAGUAGCGGGGGAUAAUCUACGCGAAAGUUGCAUAAUAAUGCAUACGCCCUUCGGGGGAAAGCGGGGGGACCUUCGCCUCGCACUAUUAGAGCGGCCGAUAUCGGAUUAGCUAGUUGGUGGGGUAACGGCUCACCAAGGCGACGAUCCGUAGCUGGUUUGAGAGGACGACCAGCCACACUGGGACUGAGACACGGCCCAGACUCCUACGGGAGGCAGCAGGAAUUUGGACAAUGGGGGAAACCCUGAUCCAGCCACGGCGUGUGCGAUGAAGGCCUUCGGGUUGUAAAGCACUUUUGGCAGGAAAGAAAACGUAUCGGGAUAAUACCCCGCGUGCAACUGACGGUACCUGCAGAAUAAGCACCGGCUAACUACGUGCCAGCAGCCGCGGUAAUACGUAGGGUGCAAGCGUUAAUCGGAAUUACUGGGCGUAAAGCGUGCGCAGGCGGUUCGGAAAGAAAGAUGUGAAAUCCCAGAGCUUAACUUUGGAACUGCAUUUUUAACUACCGUAGAGCUAGAGUGUGUCAGAGGGAGGUGGAAUUCCGCGUAGCAGUGAAAUGCGUAGAUAUGCGGAGUGAACACCGAUGGCGAAGGCAGCCUCCUGGGAUAACACUGACGCUCAUGCACGAAAGCGUGGGGAGCAAACAGGAUUAGAUACCCUGGUAGUCCACGCCCCAAACGAUGUCAACUAGCUGUUGGGGCCUUCGGGCCUUGUAGCGCAGCUAACGCGUGAAGUUAACGCACUGGGGAGUACGGUCGCAAGAUUAAAACUCAAAGGAAUUGACGGGGACCUGCACAAGCGGUGGAUGAUGUGGAUUAAUCUGAUGCAAAUCGCGAAAACCUUACCUACCCUUGACAUGUCUGGAAUCCCGAAGAGAUUUGGGAGUGCUCGCAAGAGAACCGGAGCACAGUGCUGCAUGGCUGCCGUCAGCUCGUGUCGAGAUGUUGGGUUAAGUCCCGCAACGAGCGCAACCCUUGUCAUUAGUUGCUGGAAAGGGCACUCUAAUGAGACUGCCGGUGACAAACCGGAGGAAGGUGGGGAUGACGUCAAGUCCUCAUGGCCCUUGGCGGGUGGGCUUCGGCACGUCAUACAAUGGUCGGGACAGAGUGGUCGCCAACCCGCGAGGGGGGAGCCAAUCCCAGAACCCGAUCGUAGUCCGGAUCGCAGUCUGCAACUCGACUGCGUGAAGUCGGAAUCGCUAGUAAUCGCGGAUCAGCAUGUCGCGGUGGCUGCCCGGGUCUUUGUACACACCGCCCGUCACACCAUGGGAGUGGGCUUUACCAGAAGUAGUUAGCCUAACCGUAAGGAGGGCGAUUACCACGGUAGGAUUCAUGACUGGGUGAAGUCGUAACAAGGUAGC